CGCCGUUACGCUUGCGUAUAAGGGCGGAUGAACAUUGGACAAGGCCAACGGACAUGAGCAUGUAGCGCGAACGCUCGGAGUGCGAAUGGCCGUAGGAUUGCGAGAGCGUGAAACGCGAAGCAAUCCGU
rnacentral:sRNA from 1 species